rnacentral:rRNA from 1 species
UACAGAGGUCCCAAGCGUUGUUCGGAUUCACUGGGCGUAAAGGGUGCGUAGGUGGUGAGGUAAGUCGGAUGUGAAAUCUCCGGGCUCAACCCGGAAAUGGCAUUGGAAACUACCUUGCUAGAGGAUUUGAGGGGGGAUUGGAAUACUUGGUGUAGCAGUGAAAUGCGUAGAUAUCAAGUGGAACACCAGUGGCGAAGGCGAAUCCCUGGAAAAUACCUGACACUGAGGCACGAAAGCCAGGGGAGCAAACAGG